rnacentral:rRNA from 1 species
UACAGAGGGGGCAAGCGUUGUUCGGAAUUACUGGGCGUAAAGGGCGCGUAGGCGGCCUUCUAAGUCGAACGUGAAAUCCCCGGGCUCAACCCGGGAACUGCGUCCGAGACUGGAAGGCUCGAAUCCGGGAGAGGGAUGUGGAAUUCCAGGUGUAGCGGUGAAAUGCGUAGAUAUCUGGAGGAACAUCGGUGGCGAAGGCGGCAUCCUGGACCGGUAUUAACGCUGAGGCGCGAAAGCCAGGGGAGCAAACGGG